CAGUCGACGAUGAUGGGAGCUUGCUCCUGGAUUAGUGGCGAACGGGUGAGUAACACGUGAGUAACCUGCCCUUAACUCUGGGAUAAGCCUGGGAAACUGGGUCUAAUACCGGAUAUGACUCCUCAUCGCAUGGUGGGGGGUGGAAAGCUUUAUUGUGGUUUUGGAUGGACUCGCGGCCUAUCAGCUUGUUGGUGAGGUAAUGGCUUACCAAGGCGACAACGGGUAGCCGGCCUGAGAGGGUGACCGGCCACACUGGGACUGAAACACGGCCCAAACUCCUACGGGAGGCAGCAGUGGGGAAUAUUGCACAAUGGGCGAAAGCCUGAUGCAGCGACCCCGCGUGAGGGAUGACGGCCUUCGGGUUGUAAACCUCUUUCAGUAGGGAAGAAGCGAAAGUGACGGUACCUGCAAAAAAAGCGCCGGCUAACUACGUGCCAGCAGCCGCGGUAAUACGUAGGGCGCAAGCGUUAUCCGGAAUUAUUGGGCGUAAAGAGCUCGUAGGCGGUUUGUCGCGUCUGCCGUGAAAGUCCGGGGCUCAACUCCGGAUCUGCGGUGGGUACGGGCAGACUAGAGUGAUGUAGGGGAGACUGGAAUUCCUGGUGUAGCGGUGAAAUGCGCAAAUAUCAGGAGGAACACCGAUG
rnacentral:rRNA from 1 species